rnacentral:rRNA from 1 species
CUACACCUGUGAACCGUUUGAUUGAAUCUUCUGAUUCAAUUUUACAAACAUUGUGUAAUGAACGUCAUUAGAUCAUAAUAAGAAAAAACUUUCAACAACGGAUCUCUUGGCUCUCGCAUCGAUGAAGAACGCAGCGAAAUGCGAUAAGUAAUGUGAAUUGCAGAAUUCAGUGAAUCAUCGAAUCUUUGAACGCAACUUGCGCUCUCUGGUAUUCCGGAGAGCAUGCCUGUUUGAGUGUCAUGAAAUCUCAACCAUUAGGGUUUCUUAAUGGCUUGGAUUUGGAGGUUGCCAUUCUAAAUGGCUCCUCUUAAAAGAGUUAGCGAGUUUAACUAUUGCUAUCUGGCGUAAUAAGUUUCGCUGGAAUGGUAUUGUGAAGCGCGCUUCUAAUCGUCUUCGGACAAUUUUUUGACUCUGGCCUCAAAUCAGGUAGG